AAGCAAGAAACUAAUAAGUAUUAUGGUUUCGACCCAUAAUUAGGUGUAAUUACAUACCCUUGCUUU
rnacentral:tRNA from 1 species